AUCACCAGACCACCGACGUAAUUUCUAUCGGCAGAUACAAUCUUCACUAAUAAUCCGUGUGUUGCUGAUUCAUCGGGACAGACGAAGUGUCGGUGUUGUUUGGUGCUCCAUCCAAAAAAAUGGCACCGAAAGAGAGCAGUGGACGCGCCACAUGAAACACCCAAUUCCCCAAUAAUGCAAUCGUUCCCCAAUCUCACCCUCCCCCGUGCCCCCCUCUCUCUCGUUUCCCACACACACCACUAAAAUCCGCGAGCGCCGCCGCCUCUGCCGUGCGCACCGCCGACCCAGCCCGCCCGCUGGUCCUCUCCCGCCAUGAAAUCUCGAACCCCGGGCGUCCCUUCCCUCAGCCCGCAGCAGCACCAGCAUCAUCAACCCAACUCCCGCCGAGGAGGAGCAGCAGCACCGUCCACUACCGAGGAGGAGGCCACAGUUCUUUUUCUUCCAUCGGCGACACCUAUACCAGUUGAGCCCCUUUGUGCUGGAUCACCUUGAGAUCUCGACAAGUUUAAGGGGCACGACAUGUAGGCACGAGUCACAGCUACGAGAUGGAAGAGAAAUGAUGUGCAUCCGCUGGUUAUUGAGUGAUCCGAGGGUUCUUAUGUUUAUGACAUCAUUGGAAAUAAGUAUCUAGGUUCUCUAGUAGGACUGUGGUGCUAAACAUUAGAUUCUUGAAUACCUUCCUAACCUCAUACAUUCGAUCACCGGUCUGAACUUGUCGGCCAACGACCAAGAGUUCCGAGACAAAUGUACGACACUCCUCAGGAAACAUAGGGACAUGUGGAAGAAAGUAGGAAGUAUGCAAGUUGAUCUAAGAUGUUCUGAUGAUCACUUUUGUUGAUUACAUGGUUGAAACAUUUUGUUCAUACGGAUGUCUAUGUCGGCUUGGUGAUUGAAGGAUUGGUAUCUUUCAUAUGGAAGUUGAUGCGGUCUUGGUGAUUGAAGGACACGUCUCUUUCAUACAAGUUGAUGCUGACUUCGUGAUUGGGUCUGGUCUCUUUCAUAUUUUCUCUCUUAGGAGCUUGGCCCUCAUGCUUUGGACCAGCAUGUGUCUUGUAUGUCAGACCUAUGUAUUUGCUUAAUGGUUGUAGCUAACUUGAGUGAAGAAAACUAAUGAAUCUUCAAUUUACGUUGAAUAAAGCUAUUGUUCAAUGGUAUCUUGUGAUGAAUAGAAGAGUGAAAUUAUUUGUA